UACGUAGGGUCCGAGCGUUGUCCGGAAUUAUUGGGCGUAAAGAGCUCGUAGGCGGUUUGUCGCGUCUGCUGUGAAAUCCCGAGGCUCAACCUCGGGCCUGCAGUGGGUACGGGCAGACUGGAGUGCGGUAGGGGAGAAUGGAAUUCCUGGUGUAGCGGUGGAAUGCGCAGAUAUCAGGAGGAACACCGAUGGCGAAGGCGGGUCUCUGGGCAACUACUGACGCUGAGAAGCGAAAGCAUGGGGAGCGAACAGG
rnacentral:rRNA from 1 species